CCAUCAUUGAUCUCAAUUACAGAUCAAAACAUUUAUUUUUCACUGAAAAAGCUCUAAGCUUAGCAUACAAUGGGAAAAUUAAAGGCAACAAAGAAAAAAACAAAAAAUAGACUUUCAAGUUAUGCGAAUUGCCAAAACACAGAAAAGAAAAAUGGUGAUUGAGUUGAAGUAUAAAUAGAAGCAGAGAAUGGCAAAACUUUUAAGCAGCAGCAGAAGCAAAAGCAGACUCCCUCUCCACAGCUUUCUUCAAGAGACUAUCCUCUUCCAACACCAUCUGAACAGGCAAAAAACCCAACCCAUUAGCCAUGGCCAGCAUCAUCUGCUUGGUCUCUUCUUUGAACUCCUCCAAAUCUACCCUCCCAUUCAAAUCAUGAUCAAACUGUUCAAACAGAGAACCAUAAACUCGAGCCAGCUCUUCUGGGUCUCUCUUCACAUCGAUCCCAAAGUGAGUCUCGAAAACCCUUAGACUCUGCAGCUCCUUCAACAUUUCUGCAUAAGAAAGAAGACCAUCUUGGUCUGUGUCAAGGUGAGCAAAACGGUCACGUAUUGACACAGUGAAAGCUUCUUCGUCCUCCACGAAGUUCACAAUGGUGGCACCAUCCAAAACUUCUACACUCAUCCUGCUUUGCUGUUAAUUGUAGAACCAGGGGAUCUGAACUAAAAAUCAAAAGCUUUUAAAGAGAAGGGAUUUGACUUGAUGAUGAAUCAGAAGUUGGGCUUGUGUUAUAUAUAGAGAGAGAGUUGAAAUGAAGCUAGAGACAAGAACGUGUUGAAUCACCAUGCAUGGAAGGGAAGAACAUGGGUGCGUGGUUUCCAAAACAAUACUGCUGCUUUUGGAGCCAUGUUUGUUUCCUUUUACUUUCCUUUUUG
rnacentral:misc_RNA from 1 species